AAUCAAAGAAUAUCAAUCCACUAACCUUAAACUUAAUAUGCUCAAAAUUCUUCCAGAUAUUACUAUAACAAAAGAAUCAAACACCAAAAAUAGUAUUGCCACAUCUAAAUGAUCUUAAGGAUCAACAAUCUUAUACUUUCAUUUGUCAAUUGCAAUCUCUUUUAUGAAAGUCAAGUCUCCAUUCAUAUCACUUAUUGCAUUAG
rnacentral:lncRNA from 1 species